rnacentral:rRNA from 1 species
AUUGAACGCUGGCGGCAUGCCUUACACAUGCAAGUCGAACGGCAGCACGGGAGCAAUCCUGGUGGCGAGUGGCGAACGGGUGAGUAAAGUAUCGGAACGUGCCCAGUCGUGGGGGAUAACGUAGCGAAAGUUACGCUAAUACCGCAUACGAUCUAUGGAUGAAAGCGGGGGAUCGCAAGACCUCGCGCAAUUGGAGCGGCCGAUAUCGGAUUAGGUAGUUGGGGGGGUAAAGGCUCACCAAGCCGACGAUCUGUAGCUGGUCUGAGAGGACGACCAGCCACACUGGGACUGGGACACGGCCCAGACUCCUACGGGAGGCAGCAGUGGGGAAUUUUGGACAAUGGGCGAAAGCCUGAUCCAGCCAUGCCGCGUGCAGGAUGAAGGCCUUCGGGUUGUAAACUGCUUUUGUACGGAACGAAAAGGUUUGGCCUAAUAAGCUGAGCUCAUGACGGUACCGUAAGAAUAAGCACCGGCUAACUACGUGCCAGCCGCCGCGGUAA